AACCAGAGCUAAACACUAGCACCCAAGACAGCGGUAUGUGGAAGCAUAUGGUAAUGCAAGAGCUUAUGAGCAUUGGAACAAUCAUACUUUGCAUUAGAAAGUACCGAAUAAGUGGUUGAAGAUUUGCGUAAGCAAAGAGAGCAGGAAUCAUCCACUUAAUGAACUUGCCGGCUUCAUGAGAAAUCUGAGGAUCUUGCCCUAUGAAAGUAAGCAAUUUCCCCACAUAUAGCCAUAAAACUGCAAUGGGAAUG
rnacentral:misc_RNA from 1 species